rnacentral:rRNA from 1 species
CGCCUCGUGAAUUCAUCUCCGGGGGUAGAGCACUGUUUCGGCAAGGGGGUCAUCCCGACUUACCAACCCGAUGCAAACUGCGAAUACCGGAGAAUGUUAUCACGGGAGACACACGGCGGGUGCUAACGUCCGUCGUGAAGAGGGAAACAACCCAGACCGCCAGCUAAGGUCCCAAAGUCAUGGUUAAGUGGGAAACGAUGUGGGAAGGCCCAGACAGCCAGGAUGUUGGCUUAGAAGCAGCCAUCAUUUAAAGAAAGCGUAAUAGCUCACUGGUCGAGUCGGCCUGCGCGGAAGAUGUAACGGGGCUAAACCAUG